rnacentral:lncRNA from 1 species
UCCUUGAAUGCCGAAGGUUGGUUUUCGUUGUGCACAUGAGGAACCAUAAGCUGGAAAUUGGUCAAUAGAAAAGUUUACAUGUUAAUUUAUCAGUAGGUAGGAAGUGCAGUAUGUAACCAUGCACCUAGAAGAUUAACACCUUUCCACAUUUUAUGUCAGUUUUAACCCAAUAAAAAAAUCGUAAAAUCUAUAAUAAACCUAGCAUAAAUCAGUAAGCAAUACCAAAUUUGAAGGAACUAACCAUGUAAGAACGAAACUAUAAACGACGAACGAUUUCUUCAUAGACUACGUUCCUUGUGAUUGGCGAAUGUUCUCCGUUCUCAUCUUCAAUUAAGAAUUUUAGACCCUUCCGAAACUGCACAAAGGAUCAAAAGCAUACCAACCAGAAUUGGAAUUGAGGAAAUCGCUCAUACAAGAAAAGGAAUCAGCAUAUGUGGAACCAAACAAAAUUUAGAUGCUUCUAA